rnacentral:rRNA from 1 species
UACAGAGGUGGCAAGCGUUGUUCGGAAUUACUGGGCGUAAAGGGCGCGUAGGCGGCCAUCUAAGUCAGACGUGAAAUCCCCCGGCUUAACCUGGGAACUGCGUCUGAUACUGGACGGCUCGAGUUUGGGAGAGGGAUGCGGAAUUCCAGGUGUAGCGGGUGAAAUGCGUAGAUAUCUGGAGGAACACCGGUGGCGAAGGCGGCAUCCUGGGACCAUUACUGACGCUGAGGAGCGAAAGCCAGGGGAGCAAACGGG